ACCUACGGGGGGCAGCAGUAGGGAAUAUUGCUCAAUGGGGGAAACCCUGAAGCAGCAACGCCGCGUGGGGGAAGAAGGAUUUCGGAUUGUAAACUUCUUUUGUCAGAGAAGAUAAUGACGGUAUCUAACGAAUAAGCACCGGCUAAAUACGUGCCAGCAGCCGCGGUAAUACGGAGGGUGCAAGCGUUAUCCGGAAUUACUGGGCGUAAAGAGAGCGCAGGCGGGAUAGCAAGUCAGAUGUGAAAUACCAAGGCUUAAC
rnacentral:rRNA from 1 species